rnacentral:rRNA from 1 species
UGAGCAAUCUGCCCUUCUCUUCGGAAUAAGCGUGGGAAACCGCGUCUAAUGCCGAAUACGACCUCCUUUCGCAUGAUCGGAGGUGGAAAGCUCCGGCGGAGAAGGAUGAGCUCGCGGCCUAUCAGCUAGUUGGUGUGGGUAACGCCCACCAAGGCGACGACGGGUAGCCGGCCUGAGAGGGUGACCGGCCACACUGGGACUGAGACACGGCCCAGACUCCUACGGGAGCAGCAGG